rnacentral:tmRNA from 1 species
GGGGGCGAAACGGCUUCGACGGGGAUAAAGAAGCUUAAGUUGCAUGCCGAGGUUCUGUUUGCUCGUAAAACAGGCAGAAAAACAUAAACGCAGACGAUUAUGCGUAUGCCUUAGCCGCAUAAAAUGGCUAACGUCCUGCCGUUCUUUCCUGCGAGGAUGGAUUGGGGCGCCGAUUAGCAGGAUAGCUGACCUGAGAGACCUGAAUCUCAGGGAGGCGAAAUUCUUUCAGGGUAGCCCUUCAGUCACCUGGCCCGAGAGGGGUCUUAAGGGCGAACAUCAAAGUUCGGGCUAUGCAUGUAGAGGCUUGAGUGGACUAUUCUCGGACGGGGGUUCGACUCCCCCCGCCUCCACCA